rnacentral:rRNA from 1 species
GACGAACGCUGGCGGCGUGCUUAACACAUGCAAGUCGAACGGAAAGGCCCGGCCUUUGUGGGCUGCUCGAGUGGCGAACGGGGGAGCAACACGUGAGUAACCUGUCCCUGACCUUGGGAUAACUUCAGGAAACUGGGGCUAAUACCGGAUAGGAGCUCUUGCUGCAUGGUGGGGGUUGGAAAGAUUCGGCGGUUGGGGAUGGACUCGCGGCCUAUCAGCUUGUUGGUGGGGUAGUGGCUUUCCAAGGCUUGGACGGGUAGCCGACCUGAGAGGGUGACAGGCCCCGUUAGACCUGGGCUGCGGCCCGGCCUCCACCGGUACGCAGCAGUGCGGUGUAUUGCACUGUGGGCGGAGGCCUGGUCCGGCCACGCCACGUGCGGGGUGACGGCCUUCGGUUUGUGUUCCACUUCCGCCUUUGCCGAAGCGUGAGUGACAGUAAUGGGUGAAGAAGCUCCGGCUAACUACGUG